GACGAACCGUGCAAACGUUAUUCGGAAUCAUUGGGCUUAAAGGGCGCGUAGGCGGCCUAGUAAGUCACUGGUGAAAUCCCAUCGGCUCAACCGUGGAAUUGCCAGUGAUACUGCCGGGCUUGAGGAAGACAGGGGCGUGUGGAACUUCCGGUGGAGCGGUGAAAUGUGUUGAUAUCGGGGGGAACGCCAGUGGCGAAAGCGACACGCUGGUUCUUUUCUGACGCUGAGGCGCGAAAGCUAGGGUAGCGAACGGG
rnacentral:rRNA from 1 species